AAGUGCAGUAAUGCAUUGAGCUAACUGAUACUAAUUGCCCGUAAGGCUUGAUCCUAUAACC
rnacentral:rRNA from 1 species